UGGGGAAUAUUGCACAAUGGAGGGAACUCUGAUGCAGCGACGCCGCGUGAACGAAGAAGGCUUUCGAGUCGUAAAGUUCUUUUAUAUGGGAAGAUAAUGACGGUACCAUAAGAAAAAGCCCCGGCUAACUACGUGCCAGCAGCCGCGGUAAUACGUAGGGGGCUAGCGUUGUCCGGAAUCACUGGGGGUAAAGGGUUCGCAGGCGGAAAUGCAAGUCAGGUGUAAAAGGCAGUAGCUUAACUACUGUAAGCAUUUGAAACUGCAUAGCUUGAGAAGAGUAGAGGUAAGUGGAAUUUUUGGUGUAGCGGUGAAAUGCGUAGAUAUUAAAAAGAAUACCGGUGGCGAAGGCGACUUACUGGGCUCAUACUGACGCUGAGGAACGAAAGCGUGGGUAGCAAACAGG
rnacentral:rRNA from 1 species